UAAACAGCACAUUCAUUUUGAUUUACAAAGUCACCCAAUCCCAAGCUUCUCCAUUAAUAUUUGUUAAACAAAGAAUGAAUCCAACUUUAUUCAGAAUCUGGAUUAAGAUUGCUCUGUUUGAUCAGGCCAAAAAGUCUAUUUCUUUGAGCAUUCUGUGCCCUGGUUUAUAUAGUUUAUGUUAGUUUACCAAUCAAUUGCAUUUUAUUUCACCUAAUGUAGUCAAAUGUUGGCUUAGUGCAAAAUAUGAAUCCGAUGGCUGCCAUAUAGUGAUGAAGCAGAAAAUUUCCCAAGUGGAACUUUGGGGAGACAGCAAGUUAUUUAACCAUCUUAGAUUUUGAAGGCAGUGUAUAGCUGUGAAGACAUUGAUGCUGAAUCUUUCAUUAUGAAUUUUCAUUUUUAAUUUCUACAGGUAGUCCUCGAAUAAUGAUGGCAAUCGUGGAGAUGAUUGCCUUUCUCAAUGGGUGGCAAACCCCGUUGAGAAUGCAAAUAUCAACACAAUAAUCCUUCCUUAAUUAGUGUAAAGCCUGAGUAAUGCAACUCAGCACAAUUAUCAUUAACCUGAUCCUUAACAAAGAUGAGACAACAUCUGGCACAUAGGCACAUUCCAUCACUUGCAACAUCUGGUUGUCUAUUAACUUACUCAAACAUAGCUUGGAUUUUUGUCUAGGUAAUCCAAUCAGCAUAAGUGAAUUUUGAUCAAUUAGCUUCUGCCAGUUUCUGUCACUGUUUUUAUGACAAUAAAAGGAGAGCUCUCACAAGAUGUUGAGAGUGCCUUCAUAACCUGUUUCCUGCCUGUGUAUCUUUUCUUCAUCACUACAACAUCUGGUGACCCCGACGUGAUACCCCCUGCACUCAUUCAGCCGGACGAGCCCAGGUGCACCUCAUCGAACUUCACUCUCAAAAAUUCCUCCUCACAGAGAGGUUAAUUCUUCUGCUUCUCCACGGUUCCCCACGGAGGAACAAUUAGGAAAAGAGGAGGGGAAGAAAGAAGGUCUGGUGCGGAUCCCUGCUUGGUGUGUGAAACCGUGGAAGGAUGGCGUGGCACCAAGGACUGAAAACCUGAUCCUGGACUUCUCACUCAGCCUGCAGAACCCUCAGCAGGAUCGGGACCGAACACUUUGUCACAGACAUCAAGUGACCUAGGGACAAAUUAAGGCUCUCUCUGCACAGUCUACAAAAUUGUUACAGGAUAAGGACAUGCCACAGACACCAGAGAACUUUUUAGUAGCAGCAUUUGCUUGUUUAAAUGCUAAUUCUAUAACUAUCAUUAUGUGUAUUCUUUUUAUGUGUAUCUUUCCUCCUGGAAAGGCUACAGUGACUUUCCAAGAUGGAAUUCCAGAGCAAGGACUUUGGGAACAAAAUUCUUAUAAAUGGGAUGUGCAAAAUAUCUCUUGAUUAUUAAACAGGACAGAUUGAUGGAUCUGCAUGCACGUUCCCCCACAAGCGAAAGGAGGACCUUUAAUACAUGCUAUUCCUUUCAAUGAAACUGGAUGGAAACAACAUCCUUGG